GGGCAUAUACCUAGCCCUAGACAUUCGACGGUUAAAGCAGCCAUGUUUCGUUAUUCAAGGAUUUAAUCGAAACAAGACAUUACAGAACACCCGAGUUUCAAAACAUUUAACAAUUUCUCAUGAUUAAUUUGACUUUGUUGGGAUUGUCAMUAGAUUCCAAAUGAGGAGGAGAAAGCGAAAACGUUUGGAACAUCGUWAUGGCGUCGUCUUCGUUUGGAAAGGAACUUCACCGUAAUAUAAUCGAGUUUUUUUGGUAAUGGGGUGUGUUAAACAGAAGUGAUUAUCAUGUCUCUGGUACACUGAGUUUGCUUAAAUAUGGAAGUUUUGAUUAAUGCUAAGGAAAUGGAAGGAGACAGUAGUCUCUUACAUACAAAUAAGUCUUCAGAUGAGUCGAAAACUCAUGGUAACUUGACGAAGAGUUCGAGCAAUUCAAAGCAAUUUGAAGAAACCUUUUCUACACCUCUAAUGAAGUCUGAAGACGUAAAAGAAACAAAAGCAGCUCAUUUUCAAAAUUCUUUGAUUGACGCUAUACUGUUUUGCGAUGAAGAUAGGGUUCGUGCAUUGAUUGAUGCUGGUGCUGAUGUCAACCUAACUGAUAAUGAGGGGAAGACUGCUUUGUUUUAUGCUGUUCAACAAAGUAACAAUGAAAGUGUGGUCCGUGCAUUGAUUGAUGCUGGUGCUGAUGUCAACCUAACUGAUAAUGAGGGAAAAACUGCUUUGUUUUAUGCUGUCCAAAGUAACAAUGAAAGUGUGGUUCGUGCAUUGAUAGAACAAGGGAAUUCGCUUACUAGUCCAAGAGACAUUUAUGGCAGGACUCCACUCUUUUAUGCCAUGACCAAAUCACAGUCAAUAAUUUGCUAUCUUCUAGAAAAGAAAGUUAACAUGCGCAUUAAAGACAAUUGUGGUAUGAGUUUCUUAUCAUUUUUUGUUGACCAUUGUCUCUCCAAACCUGCAAAUUCUAACAAUCAGUCUUGUAUAUCUGAAAGAAUUGAUUUAAUAGUCCAAAAAGGAGUGAAAAGAAAUACAGUUUAUGUCGCAAUUAUGAACAUCAUCUUUUGCAAAUGUCCUCUCCUCUUUCAUUCAGGAAUCAAUGUACCAAUCCUCAUCUUUUUCUUGGAGUUAGCAAAGACAUAUAGUACUGAACAUGAAAGUGAUAUUGAUGAUGUUUUGGAAAUGGUAAGAAAAACUGUGAAUGACAAAACACUGUUCAAAACCUUAAUACCACAGAUACUUGAUUUGCUGUGUGAAUUAGGGGCUGAUCCCAACAGUGCUGACAUGGAGGGAAACACUGCUCUUCACCAUGCAGUUUGUUUGCCAUUUUAUGGAGUGUCAAAAGAGGAAGUAAUGGACUUAGUAACGAAACUUGAAGAAGUUGGAAUAACAGUUGAUUCAAAAAACCACCACAGUGAAACACCGCUUCUGUUUUGUUUAACCUUGCACAGUAAUGAUCAACAAAUAUUAGAUGAAAACAGCCAGUUGUCAGCCUUCAAAAUACUUGUAGAAGUCUGUGAAUUUUUGAUAUGCAAUGGAUCAAAUGUUGAAGAGACGACGAAAAAAGGAGACUCUGUUUUGCAUUUAAUGAUGAGGCUUUUGCAGAAAAUUCUGGAAUGGCAUGGAAAUGCAAGACUAAGUGAUGCAAUUCAAGUAGGAAUUGUGUUAUUUGAAUUGAAAUUAUUUUCAACCUCCAGUGCAGCCAAAAGGGUCAUCAACAAAAAAGAUGAAAACCUCAACUCACCAAUUCAUCUUUGGGCAUCAUUGGAACCACCUCAACAAUGCUUGAGAGAUGUUGCUAAUGAAGGAAGUGUGUUUUCAGAUUUCAUGAAAAAAGUUCUUAAUAAACUUCUGGUCGACUGUGAUACACAAAUGAAGGAACGAAAUAAACAAGGUCAGACUCCUCUACAUCUCUGCAGAACCUGGGCUGCUGUUGAACUCUUGCUUGAUUUUGGAGCAAACCCAAAUGUUGUAGAUGUAUCAGGACGUUCACCCCUUAUUGUUGCUGCACACAACAAAACACAUACCUUUUUUUAUCCAGAUGUCGCGCUUGACGAUCCAAAAGAUUUUUGGAAACUAACUGCACUUGAGAAAGGUCUUGAUCCUUGGGUAGUCGAUAAAGAUGGAAAUUCUGUUUUGAGUUCUCUCAUCGAAUCAGAAGCUGUGGAUCUAGCCAAAGCCAUGAUUGAUGUUUUUUGUGCAAGCAGGAAAGACUUCCCUUCAGCAGAGGAAACCACAAAUACAUGUACAAUCUUAAAUAUCUUAUGUGAAGACAACAAAAAUGCACAGUGGAAACUAGAAUAUGUUAAUAAGAUUGUGCUAUUCUUGGGAAAACCUCUUAUUGAAAUAAAAUGGUCUAAAACUUCUCCUCUUCAUUCGUGCUGCAGGAAUAUUAUUGAAGCAUCAAAGGAUGAUGGUUCUUCUGUACAAACAACAGUACACUGGGCCAUUGCGAAACUAUUGCUGUCAUAUAAAGCUGAUUGUGCAAUCCCCGAUGAAACAGGCCAGUCUUGUCUGGAUAUAGCAGAAGAGUGCUCAGAGCUGAAAGAUCUCCUAAAUAACCAUGUAAUUAAUGAUGACACUCAUUGUCCUCAUCCUUGGGUCAAAGUUUCUGAAAGAUAUAGGCCUAUUUUGGAAAAAGUAGCAAGACAUCAGGAAAGUACACAUGCAUAUCCAUUUUGGUACUAUAAAGAUCAUUUAGGUGAAGGAUCAUUUGGCUUGAUAUUUGCAGGAAUCAAUGAGAACGAUGGGCGAGAGGUAGCCAUCAAACGUAUUGAAAAAUUGCGCAUGAAGAGACCAGAAGACAAACGAGAAAUAAUGACACUUUCCMUCCUGGCACACUGUGACCAGGUUGUUCAAUACCUGUCUUUYUUUGAAGAUGAACAUUUCUCUUACAUUGUSUUGGAAUUGAUGGAGGGAAAUCUUAAUGACUAUCUUGAUGAUUYUAAUAUUGYAAAGAAUAACAUUUCACUUUGCAARGAUUUAGUMAAAGGACAAGAWUAUCUGCAUGGUCUKAAAAUUCUUCAUCGAGAUCUCAAGCCAUCAAAUAUCCUUUAUAAAAAGUUUCCAAAACUGACUCUAAAAAUUGCUGACUUUGGUUUAAGCCAUCAUGUUGUUGGKAGUACCUCUACUUCAGCAUAUGCUUCUUUUGCUGGAACAAGGUGUUGGAUGGCUCCAGAGUUGCUGGGGUGCACAGAUGCGAAUUCAGGAGUUUAUACCAAGGGGUCUGACAUGUUUUCCUGUGGACUCAUUCUUCACUAUAUUUUAUCAGUUAAAAAACAUCCAUUUGCUCCAGCUGAUAGUGAUGAYAAAGGCACAUUGCAAGUCAGCAAUGAGACAGAAGCCAACAUAUURAAUGGCAGAAUGGAAGGAUGGGAUGACUCUCUGUGSCCUGAAGCAGCUCAUCUCAUUAAAGCAAUGCUUGAUGGAGAUGAAACUAAACGACCAUCUGCAGAUAAAGCAUUGGAUCAUCCAUAUUUCUGGCCAGAGAAGAAAAAGCUGGAUCUGCUCGUAGCUGUUGGCARUCAACCAGAAUUUGAAUAUCCUCGUGCUGGGAGAUCAKUUGUUUUGUCUGCUGUYGAGASUGAGUUAGAAGCAUGGUUUGGUACCAUAGUGAAGCAUUCAGCCUGGARCAACCCAGGUUAUGUACACAUGGCUGAUAUUUUUAAGGAAAUGAGAAGAAAAAUAAGGUAUGAUCCUCACUCUGUGGUAGAAUUGGUACGUUUCAUACGAAAUGCUUACGCGCACAUCUCUGAAAGUACACGGCCAACACAAAUCAAGAAACUAUUGCUGGAAGACUUUGUGUUCUUCAAAUAUUUUCCAAAUCUGUUGAUGGAAGUCUACAAGGCUGUAACCACUCAUGGAUGGGAUCAGACGAGAGCAGAGAUCAAGAAUGCAAUGAAGAAGUGAGAGUUACGAACAAACAGGUACAAAUAUUUUAUCAUGGAACAGUAUGAAGAUCUUUAAUACUAAAUCAAGGUCAGCUGAUACAAGAGACCAGCAUACAGAUAGAAUAGUGUUAAUAAUGUUAAGACAAGGGUACCAUUAGACAAUCAACACUGGCUAGAAUCAAAGCCUGUACAAUACUAGAUCAAGGUCAGCCUAUAUACAU